UAAAGACUGCGAAAAAAUAAU
rnacentral:piRNA from 1 species